rnacentral:rRNA from 1 species
CUAAGUAUAAGCAAUUAUACAGCGAAACUGCGAAUGGCUCAUUAAAUCAGUUAUCGUUUAUUUGAUAGUACCUUACUACUUGGAUAACCGUGGUAAUUCUAGAGCUAAUACAUGCUAAAAACCCCGACUCACGAAGGGGUGUAUUUAUUAGAUUAAAAACCAAUGCCCUUCGGGGCUCUUUGGUGAUUCAUAAUAACUUUUCGAAUCGCAUGGCCUUGCGCCGGCGAUGGUUCAUUCAAAUUUCUGCCCUAUCAACUUUCGAUGGCAGGGUCUUGGCCUGCCAUGGUUACAACGGGUAACGGAGGGUUAGGGCUCGACCCCGGAGAAGGAGCCUGAGAAACGGCUACUACAUCCAAGGAAGGCAGCAGGCGCGCAAAUUACCCAAUCCCGAUUCGGGGAGGUAGUGACAAUAAAUACUGAUACAGGGCUCUUUUGGGUCUUGUAAUUGGAAUGAGUACAAUUUAAAUCCCUUAACGAGGAACAAUUGGAGGGCAAGUCUGGUGCCAGCAGCCGCGGUAAUUCCAGCUCCAAUAGCGUAUAUUAAAGUUGUUGCAGUUAAAAAGCUCGUAGUUGAACCUUGGGCCUGGCUGGCCGGUCCGCCUCACCGCGUGCACUGGUUCGGCCGGGCCUUUCCCUCUGGGGAACCUCAUGGUCUUCACUGAUCGUGAUGGGGAACCAGGACUUUUACUGUGAAAAAAUUAGAGUGUUCAAAGCAGGCCUAUGCUCGAAUACAUUAGCAUGGAAUAAUAAAAUAGGACGUGUGGUUCUAUUUUGUUGGUUUCUAGGACCGCCGUAAUGAUUAAUAGGGACAGUCGGGGGCAUCAGUAUUCAAUUGUCAGAGGUGAAAUUCUUGGAUUUAUUGAAGACUAACUACUGCGAAAGCAUUUGCCAAGGAUGUUUUCAUUAAUCAGGAACGAAAGUUAGGGGAUCGAAGACGAUCAGAUACCGUCGUAGUCUUAACCAUAAACUAUGCCGACUAGGGAUCGGACGGUGUUACUUAUUGACCCGUUCGGCACCUUACGAGAAAUCAAAGGUCUUUGGGGUCU